UACGGAGGGUGCAAGCGUUAUCCGGAUUCACUGGGUUUAAAGGGUGCGUAGGUGGGCAGGUAAGUCAGUGGUGAAAUCUCCGAGCUUAACUCGGAAACUGCCAUUGAUACUAUCUGUCUUGAAUAUCCUGGAGGUGAGCGGAAUAUGUCAUGUAGCGGUGAAAUGCAUAGAUAUGAUAUAGAACACCGAUUGCGAAGGCAGCUAACUAAGCGAUGAUUGACGCUGAGGCACGAAAGCGUGGGGAUCAAACAGG
rnacentral:rRNA from 1 species